UACGUAGGGGGCAAGCGUUAUCCGGAUUUACUGGGUGUAAAGGGAGCGUAGGCGGCUUAGUAAGUCAGAAGUGAAAGCCCGCAGCUCAACUGCGGGACUGCUUUUGAAACUGCCAAGCUAGAGUGUCGGAGAGGUAAGUGGAAUUCCUAGUGUAGCGGUGAAAUGCGUAGAUAUUAGGAGGAACACCAGUGGCGAAGGCGACUUUCUGGACUGUACCUGACGCUGAGGCGCGAAAGCGUGGGUAGCGAACGGG
rnacentral:rRNA from 1 species